UAUCCCCUGCGGUGUUCGACAGCCGGCCAGAUAUUCCCUUGAGCCUAUGCUGAAGCACCUCGGGGCCGGGUCACGGUAGCCGGUGUGCAUGCCCGUCCUAGAGCGGGAAGCCUGAAGCGCCGUUCCGACCCCACUUGAACCUCACGGUUCAAGGAGCACGGCAGGCACCGGCACAGGCGGGGGAUAC
rnacentral:other from 1 species